GGCCGGUUAACUCAGUUGGUUAGAGCGUGGUGCUAAUAACCCCAAGGUCGCGGGUUCUAUCCCCGUACAGGCCA